GACGAACGCUGGCGGCGUGCUUAACACAUGCAAGUCGAACGGAGCGAAUGAAAGCUUGCUUUUAUAAGCUUAGUGGCAAACGGGUGAGUAACACGUAGACAACCUGCCGACAGGAUGGGGACAACAUUCCGAAAGGAAUGCUAAUACCGAAUGAAGCGCAGGAGAGGCAUCUCUCCUGCGUGAAAGAUGGCCUCUGAAUAUGCUAUCACCUGUUGAUGGGUCUGCGUCUGAUUAGCUGGUAGGUGAGGUAACGGCUCACCUAGGCGACGAUCAGUAGCCGGUCUGAGAGGAUGAACGGCCACAUUGGGACUGAGACACGGCCCAGACUCCUACGGGAGGCAGCAGUGGGGAAUCUUCCGCAAUGGGCGCAAGCCUGUCGGAGCAACGCCGCGUGAGUGAAGAAGGUCUUCGGAUCGUAAAGCUCUGUUGAUGGGGAC
rnacentral:rRNA from 1 species